rnacentral:lncRNA from 1 species
AAAUGAAAGGAGAAAGAGAUAUGGAAGGGGAUAGGGGAGGAAAUAGGGGGGGUAAGGGGGGGAUAAAGGAGGAAAUAGGGGGUAAAAGGGGGGAUAAAGGGGAAUAAAGGAGGAAAUAGGGGGGUAAGGGUGUUUAUAGGGGGGUAAAGGGAGGGAAUAAGGGAUAAAGGGGGGAAUAAGAGGAUAAAAAGGGGGAGAUAGCGGGGUUUAGGAGGAAAUAGGGGGAUUAAAGGGAUGGGCAAUAAGGGAUUAAAAAAGGGGGGAAUUAGGGGCUAAAAAGGAGGAAAUAAGGGGAUAACAGGAGUGGAAAUAGGGGGGUAAAGGAGGAAAUAAGGGGCUAAAAAGCGGGGAUUUAGCUAGAGGGCAAAUAAGGGGCUUAAAAACGGAGAAAAUAGGGCAAAU